AGAGUUUGAUCCUGGCUCAGAUUGAACGCUGGCGGCAUGCCUUACACAUGCAAGUCGAGCGGCAGCGCGGGGGCAACCCUGGCGGCGAGCGGCGAACGGGUGAGUAAUACAUCGGAACGUGUCCAGUAGUGGGGGAUAACCAGUCGAAAGAUUGGCUAAUACCGCAUACGAUCUACGGAUGAAAGCGGGGGACCGCAAGGCCUCGCGCUGUUGGAGCGGCCGAUGUCGGAUUAGCUAGUUGGCGGGGUAAAAGCCCACCAAGGCGACGAUCCGUAGCUGGUCUGAGAGGACGACCAGCCACACUGGAACUGAGACACGGUCCAGACUCCUACGGGAGGCAGCAGUGGGGAAUUUUGGACAAUGGGGGCAACCCUGAUCCAGCCAUGCCGCGUGAGUGAAGAAGGCCUUCGGGUUGUAAAGCUCUUUCGGCGGGGACGAAACGGUCCGUGACAACACCACGGACUAAUGACGGUACUCGCAGAAGAAGCACCGGCUAACUACGUGCCAGCAGCCGCGGUAAUACGUAGGGUGCAGGCGUUAAUCGGAAUUACUGGGCGUAAAGCGUGCGCAGGCGGCUCCUUAAGUCAGAUGUGAAAUCCCCGGGCUUAACCUGGGAACUGCGUUUGAAACUGGGGAGCUAGAGUGUGGAAGAGGGGGGUGGAAUUCCAGGUGUAGCAGUGAAAUGCGUAGAUAUCUGGAGGAACACCGAUGGCGAAGGCAGCCCCCUGGGCUAACACUGACGCUCAUGCACGAAAGCGUGGGGAGCAAACAGGAUUAGAUACCCUGGGUAGUCCACGCCC
rnacentral:rRNA from 1 species